ACUAUUAAGUCAGGGGUGAAAUCCCGGGGCUCAACCCCGGAACUGCCUUUGAUACUGGUAGUCUCGAGUCCGGAAGAGGUGAGUGGAAUUCCGAGUGUAGAGGUGAAAUUCGUAGAUAUUCGGAGGAACACCAGUGGCGAAGGCGGCUCACUGGUCCGGUACUGACGCUGAGGUGCGAAAGCGUGGGGAGCAAACAGG
rnacentral:rRNA from 1 species